CUUUCCCAAAAUGCAGUCUCAAGUGCUUCAAAAUGGAGUCCCUACUGUCAAGGUGCUACUUCAGAAGUGAAAUUCUGGAUGGAGGGGCCAUAACCAUCCCUUCAGUAUUCCCACAGGUGAGAUCCCACCCCACUGGGUUAUGCAUUUAGGGCACCGCCCCCUGAGAUGAGAAAGGGGAGGGCCCUCUCUGCCCCUGGCUGUGCUUGGGAAUCCUCCUUGGGCUGCCUCUUCCUCUCUUCCUCCUGGCAACCCUGGCCCAUUCCUGCUGAGGGUCUCUCCGUGGGUGGCGGCCCUCAGUAGGCGUGCAGGUGUGGUCACGCUCUCUGUCCUUGAAAUCAAAGCUGCUUUUGUGCACUGCCUGUGGCUGCUGCUGCUGUGAAUCCUCAUCUCCAUGGGGACAAGAACCUUGAGUAAAAUGUAAGACCCAGGGCCCACACCUUCCCCACCGGGCACCCAGCAGGGUACGUGUGGUCCUGUGACAGCAGUGGGGGGUCCGGGAGUCAGCCUGAGUGUAGGAAACAUCAGGCUCCCUGCAGGAAGGAGGAGCAGCCUGGGCACGGGAGCCCCCAGGGGAAGUGGACCCUGGCUCAUGAAGGCUGACUUUAUGCCUCCUGAGAACUGGCCUUGACCUCUGCUCAGCCCAGGGCUCUCUCAGCCACCAUGGCCAGGGCUAGCCCAGGGCAAAUUCCAGAGGGAGAAAUAUUAUCUGUGUACCCCACCUGGGUGGCAGGGACCCAAGCCCUUGGGCCCUCCUCUGCUGCUUUCCCAGGUGCCUUAGCAGAGAUCUGGAUCAGGAGUGGAGCAGCUGGGACCUCAACUGUCACUCAUAUGAGAUGUCAGAGACAUGGUUAGAGGCUUAACCCCCUUUG